UACGUAGGGUGCAAGCGUUGUCCGGAAUUAUUGGGCGUAAAGAGCUCGUAGGCGGUUUGUCGCGUCGAAUGUGAAAACCCGGGGCUCAACCCCGGGCCUGCAUUCGAUACGGGCAGACUAGAGUUCGGUAGGGGAGUCUGGAAUUCCUGGUGUAGCGGUGAAAUGCGCAGAUAUCAGGAGGAACACCAAUGGCGAAGGCAGCACUCUGGGACGUGACUGACGCUGAGACGCGAAAGCGUGGGGAGCAAACAGG
rnacentral:rRNA from 1 species